rnacentral:rRNA from 1 species
AUUGAACGCUGGCGGCAUGCCUUACACAUGCAAGUCGAACGGCAGCGGACCUUCGGGUGCCGGCGAGUGGCGAACGGGUGAGUAAUAUAUCGGAACGUACCUUUCAGUGGGGGAUAACGUAGCGAAAGUUACGCUAAUACCGCAUAUUCUGUGAGCAGGAAAGCAGGGGAUCGUAAGACCUUGCGCUGAUUGAGCGGCCGAUAUCAGAUUAGCUAGUUGGUGAGGUAAAGGCUCACCAAGGCGACGAUCUGUAGCGGGUCUGAGAGGAUGAUCCGCCACACUGGAGCUGAGACACGGUCCAGACUCCUACGGGAGGCAGCAGUGGGGAAUUUUGGACAAUGGGCGCAAGCCCGAUCCAGCCAUGCCGCGUGAGUGAAGAAGGCCU